AGAUUUCAGGAAGCAAGGACAUUGCUAUUGGUUCCCCUUAUGCCUCACCAAAUCCAGUGAAUUCCACCGUAGAGGAUUAUAACAGCCUGGUCACUAUAUUAGUCAUUCAAAUACUGUCUAAGUUGAAUGAUCAAGGGUCACUCUCUGAUGACAUGUUAGACAUAUCUAGAGUGCUAAUUAACAGGCUAAAGACAGAAAGUGAUGCAGCCUUGAGCAUAGGAGAAAAUAUGACCACAUGUGAUGUGAGGAUUAAAAAAGUCUUCAGAGCCAUUUACAGUGAUCUCCUGCAUGAGUUCGGCAGUAAGGACAUUCUCCUGAAGGCGAUGAUGUCAGAGGAUCCUUGUUUUGAGAAAUCUCUGGUCACAUCCCUGGCUCGUGAAUUCAUACAAACCACUGCUGUGCCAAAUCCAAAGGAAGGGGAGUCUAAGAAGCGGAAACUUCGUUUCCUCCCAAAACUUUCAAAAAUCAAGGCCUUUUUUCAUAUCAAGAAAUCAAAGUCAGACAGCAGUAGAAAGGAGCAAUCCAUCAAUGUGGAUCAGAACUUGGAACCGACAUCUUCUCGUGUUGGUCCAGGCUGCUUCCCUUGGGCCACAUCAG